rnacentral:rRNA from 1 species
CUCAGUAACACGUGGCCAAACUACCCUACAGAGAACGAUAACCUCGGGAAACUGAGGCUAAUAGUUCAUACGGGAGUCAUGCUGGAAUGCCGACUCCCCGAAACGCUCAGGCGCUGUAGGAUGUGGCUGCGGCCGAUUAGGUAGACGGUGGGGUAACGGCCCACCGUGCCGAUAAUCGGUACGGGUUGUGAGAGCAAGAGCCCGGAGACGGAAUCUGAGACAAGAUUCCGGGCCCUACGGGGCGCAGCAGGCGCGAAACCUUUACACUGCACGCAAGUGCGAUAAGGGGACCCCAAGUGCGAGGGCAUAUAGUCCUCGCUUUUCACGACUGUAAGGCGGUCGUGGAAUAAGAGCUGGGCAAGACCGGUGCCAGCCGCCGCGGUAAUACCGGCAGCUCAAGUGAUGACCGAUAUUAUUGGGCCUAAAGCGUCCGUAGCCGGCCACGAAGGUUCAUCGGGAAAUCCGCCAGCUCAACUGGCGGGCGUCCGGUGAAAACCACGUGGCUUGGGACCGGAAGGCUCGAGGGGUACGUCCCGGGGUAGGAGUGAAAUCCCGUAAUCCUGGACGGACCACCGAUG